rnacentral:rRNA from 1 species
CAGCCGUAAACUAUGCGCGUUAGGUGUAUCGGUGACCACGAGUCACCGAGGUGCCGAAGGGAAACCGUGAAACGUGCCGCCUGGGAAGUACGGCCGCAAGGCUGAAACUUAAAGGAAUUGGCGGGGGAGCACCACAACAGGUGGAGCCUGCGGUUUAAUUGGACUCAACGCCGGGAAGCUCACCGGAUAGGACAGCAGAAUGAUUGCCGGGCUGAAGACCCUGCAUGACUAGCUGAGAGGAGGUGCAUGGCGUAGACGUCU